rnacentral:rRNA from 1 species
GGAGGGUGCAAGCGUUAAUCGGAAUUACUGGGCGUAAAGCGCUCGUAGGCGGUUAGUUAAGUCGGAUGUGAAAGCCCCGGGCUCAACCUGGGAACUGCAUUCGAUACUGGUAAACUAGAGUAUAGUAGAGGCAAGUGGAAUUCCGGGUGUAGCGGUGAAGUGCGUAGAUAUCCGGAGGAACAUCAGUGGCGAAGGCGACUUGCUGGACUAAUACUGACGCUGAGGAGCGAAAGCGUGGGGAGCAAACGGGGAUUAGAUACCCCGGUAGUCCACGCCGUAAACGAUGUCAACUAGCCCGUUGGAGGUCUUAGUACCCUUUAGUGGCGCAGCUAACGCAUUAAGUUGACCGCCUGGGGAGUACGGUCGCAAGACUA